rnacentral:snRNA from 1 species
GGAUGUGAGGGCGAUCUGUCUGCGACAUCUGUCACCCUAUUGAUCGCCAGGAAUUGAUUCGGCUGAUCUGGCUGGCUAGGCGGUAGUCCUCUUCCUCCCUCACUGCUCCAUGUGCCUCCCUCCCGAAGCUGCGUGCUCGGUCAAAGAGGAUGACCAUCCCCACUAGAGGAGGACCGGUCUUCGGUCAAGGGUAUACAAGUAGCUGCGCUCCCCUGUUAGAACCUCCAAACAAGAUCUCAAAGUGUCAUUACUCUGUAAAUCAUGACCUUUGGCCUUCAUAAAAUACAAUCAAAAUGCUGGUGUUAAGCUUGGUGGUUAAGAUUCUG